CUCUGUUUACUUCAAUUCACCUUCUCAGUUGUAUCCAUCAACCCAUAAUUCUGCUUCCACACCAGCUGCAAAUUUUUUUUGUGCUCCUGGUACUUCUCCACGGGUACAACAAUCCUUCUGUGAUUCGGUUCUUCCUGGAUCACAUCUUAUACCUGACUGGAUGCCGACAUCUGUUAAAGAUGGUGUGCAGGAGCUUGACCUUGGAGCAAG
rnacentral:lncRNA from 1 species